CCUACGGGUGGCAGCAGUGGGGGAUAUUGCACAAUGGGGGAAACCCUGAUGCAGCGACGCCGCGUGGGCGAAGAAGUAUUUCGGUAUGUAAAGCCCUAUUAGCAGGGAAGAAGCAAUGACGGUACCUGGGUAAGCAGCACCGGCUAAAUACGUGCCAGGAGGCGCGGUAAUACGUAUGGUGCAAGCGUUUACCGGAUUUACUGGGUGUAAAGGGAGGGCAGGCGGCACGGCAAGCCUGAUGUGAAAGCCCGCGGCCCAACCGCGGGACUGCAUUUGGAACUACCGGGCUGGAGUGCCGGAGAGGUAGGCGGAAUUCCUAGUGUAGCGGUGAAAUGCGUAGAUAUUAGGAGGAACACCAGUGGCGAAGGCGGCCUACUGGACGGUGACUGACGCUGAGGCACGAAAGCGUGGGGAGCAAACAGGAUUAGAUACCCUUGUAGUC
rnacentral:rRNA from 1 species